AUGGGGGGCACCCACAGUCCCUUUAAACCGCCUCCCCGCCCCCCCCCCCCGGUGUCUGCCAACCUUUUCCGAACCCCCGUGUCACAGAACUUCCUCAUCAUGGAAACUUCCACUCGGUUCGGCGCUAAGGAUGCCAAACUCCAUUUCACAAGGAGCCUGUCAACAGCUGGGCUUGGGGGUUUGAGGAACAGAGCGGCUGCGAUUGGAGGGGGCCCCCAGACACCCUGCUCCGCCACUGCCCACGCUGGGGCUCCCCGACUGCCGCCGCGCGGUGCCGGAGCACGAGGGGCACCUCCUCCCGGACCCGGGGUGCAGAAGCCCCGCGGAGGCAGCUUCUUGCGAGCAUCCCACGGAAGAGGGCGAGGAGCCACCACUCUGGCUAGCCACAACUGUCCAGAAAUUCGGGAACUGCUGCCUGCGCCUGGACGCACGGUGUUUCAGGUGCUUCCAGAGAGAAAAGUCGCAGACCCCAAGGCUCCCUGGCGAGAGGGAGGGGCCUCCCCGUCAGAAUCCACGGACCUUAAAUCCCCUCGGUUCUUGGCGAUAAAUCCUUGCUGUAGUUUAUUUUUCACUCGUGAUAAGGCUAUAUACCAUAGGCUUUGCAGGUUUUGUAGCUGCAUAGAAGUUGUUCUCCCUUGCAGGGAAGUUCCUGGGCUCUGCUCCAAUGCUGCCCCGGGAUGUUUUGGUUGCUUUGGAGGAAAGCUGUGGAGUCUGCACCGUUUGUUCCAAAUAGGCGGCCCCCUGGUGGCUAACUGUGGGUGAAAAAUCAGGCCACUGAGGAAAAAGCUUGGCUUUGACAGGCCACUACAGUUGACAGCCGGGUCUGCGCAGGGGCUAUUGAGACAUGCGAACGACUUUGUAAUGGGGGGGAGGGGAGGGGUGGAGUGGGCGGGGCAUGAUGCGAGUCUUCCUUCACAAAGGUGAAUAAUAGGCCCUGAAGCCUAAUGGGACUUUGAAUUUUUUUUCCUCUUCCUGAGUGUAACUUGGAGCUAGAUUCCAUCUUAAGAAGGAAAACAUCACACGGAGAAUGAAGUAUAACAAACACUGUUGCUCCCCUUUGUUCAAAUGGCUUUGCUUUUCUGAUCUCAUUUUGCCUGGAAACUUUUGAAAUAAAAAGUAAAUUACAACAUUAAAUAAAUAACA
rnacentral:lncRNA from 1 species